rnacentral:rRNA from 1 species
CCUACGGGUGGCUGCAGUGAGGAAUAUUGGUCAAUGGGCGCGAGCCUGAACCAGCCAAGUAGCGUUAAGGAUGACUGCCCUACGGGUUGUAAACUUCUUUUAUAAAGGAAUAAAGUGAGGCACGUGUGCCUUUUUGUAUGUACUUUAUGAAUAAGGAUCGGCUAACUCCGUGCCCGCAGCCGCGGUAAUACGGAGGGGGCGGGCGUUGUCCGGAAUGACUGGGCGUAAAGGGAGGGUAGGCGGCUCUUUAAGUUAUAUGUGAAAUCCCGCGGCUCAACCGUGGAAGUGCAUAUAAAACUGGGGAGCUGGAGUGCAGGAGAGGUGAGUGGAAUUCCUAGUGUAGCGGUGGAAUGCGUAGAUAUUAGGAAGAACACCGGUGGCGAAGGCGGCUCACUGGACUGUAACUGACGCUGAGGCUCGAAAGCGUGGGGAGCAAACAGGAUUAGAUACCCUUGUAGUC